rnacentral:rRNA from 1 species
GACGAACGCUGGCGGCGUGCCUAAUACAUGCAAGUAGAACGCUGAAGGAGGAGCUUGCUUCUCUGGAUGAGUUGCGAACGGGUGAGUAACGCGUAGGUAACCUGCCUGGUAGCGGGGGAUAACUAUUGGAAACGAUAGCUAAUACCGCAUAAUAUUGACUAUUGCAUGAUAGUCAAUUAAAAGGUGCAAUUGCAUCACUACCAGAUGGACCUGCGUUGUAUUAGCUAGUUGGUGAGGUAACGGCUCACCAAGGCGACGAUACAUAGCCGACCUGAGAGGGUGAUCGGCCACACUGGGACUGAGACACGGCCCAGACUCCUACGGGAGGCAGCAGUAGGGAAUCUUCGGCAAUGGACGGAAGUCUGACCGAGCAACGCCGCGUGAGUGAAGAAGGUUUUCGGAUCGUAAAGCUCUGUUGUAAGAGAAGAACGAGUGUGAGAGUGGAAAGUUCACACUGNGACGG